AUGAUUCAUAUUCAUCAAAAGAAGAAUACAUCUGUUCCUAUGGAGAUUCUAUUACAAGAUCAGGAGCCUCGGAUCACAGGGAAUAAAAAGAAAAAGAGGGCAUAAAUCACUCCUCAGAGGGAUUGCAGGGCGGUCGUCUGUGGGAUGGUAUUUCUCAACACUGAUAAUGCCCUCGAUCUGGACGGCUACGUUAAUCUUGUCCACCUCAUUCCAAAAAUGGGAUGUCAUUAUAAACCUCGAUCAGUUAUCUGACGACACUAUCUGUAAAUCUUUGUCUAAACAAUCAAUUUGAAGAUGCUUGAUGAAGUCUGGAGGAAGGCACAUCUGGGCAAUGGACUUGCACUUCUCGAAGUCUGCAAAGAACGCAGAGAACGCCGCUUUACAAGCUUGGGCUAUGAUCUUAGCC
rnacentral:lncRNA from 1 species